rnacentral:lncRNA from 1 species
AGCCUAGUCCUGGAACACAAAACUCUUGUAGCGAUAUUUACAUUUUCCUUAAUUUUCGUAUUUUCUUUUCAUUCAUUUUGCAAAUUUGCUAUAUAUAUGCAUUGCUUUUAUUAUCAAGCUUCCACCGAGCUUCGUUUUAAAAAAAAAAAGAAAUAAAUCACGAAAAUAUCAGCUUAAAAUCAUUUAUGAAAAGAUGACUCCGAGGCAUAUUUGUAAGACUAGCUUGACCCAUAAAACUAUACAUGUAACCUAUUAUUAUUAAUUCCUGCCAG